CCUACGGGGGGCUGCAGUAACGAAUCUUCCCCAAUGCGCGCAAGCGUGAGGGAGCGACGCCGCGUGUAGGACGAAGUCCUUCGGGAUGUAAACUACUGUCAGGGGCGGUGCCCCAGAGGAAGAGGCGGCUAACUCUGUGCCAGCAGCCGCGGUAAUACAGAGGCCUCGAGCGUUAGGCGGAAUCACUGGGCUUAAAGCGCGUGUAGGCGGAUCGUUAAGUACCUUGUGAAAUCCCACGGCCCAACCGUGGAACUGCUGGGUAUACUGGCGGUCUUGGGCCACUCAGGGGUUGCCGGAACAAGCGGUGGAGCGGUGAAAUGCGUGAUAUCGCUUGGAACGCCAAAGGUGAAGACAGGCAACUGGGAGUGGCCGACGCUGAGACGCGAAAGCCAGGGGAGAAACGGGAUUAGAUACCCUUGUAGUC
rnacentral:rRNA from 1 species